rnacentral:rRNA from 1 species
AUUGAACGCUGGCGGAAUGCUUUACACAUGCAAGUCGAGCGGCAGCGCGGGGCAACCUGGCGGCGAGCGGCGAACGGGUGAGUAAUACAUCGGAACGUGCCCAGACGUGGGGGAUAACUACUCGAAAGAGUAGCUAAUACCGCAUAUGAUCUAAGGAUGAAAGCGGGGGAUCGCAAGACCUCGCGCGGUUGGAGCGGCCGAUGGCAGAUUAGGUAGUUGGUGGGGUAAAGGCUUACCAAGCCUGCGAUCUGUAGCUGGUCUGAGAGGACGACCAGCCACACUGGGACUGAGACACGGCCCAGACUCCUACGGGAGGCAGCAGUGGGGAAUUUUGGACAAUGGGCGAAAGCCUGAUCCAGCCAUUCCGCGUGCAGGAUGAAGGCCCUCGGGUUGUAAACUGCUUUUGUACAGAACGAAAAAGCUCUAGUUAAUACCUGGAGUCCAUGACGGUACUGUAAGAAUAAGCACCGGCUAACUACGUGCCAGCAGCCGCGGUAACAC